rnacentral:rRNA from 1 species
AGAGUUUGAUCCUGGCUCAGAUUGAACGCUGGCGGCAUGCCUUACACAUGCAAGUCGAACGGCAGCACGGACUUCGGUCUGGUGGCGAGUGGCGAACGGGUGAGUAAUAUAUCGGAACGUACCCUGGAGUGGGGGAUAACGCAGCGAAAGUUGCGCUAAUACCGCAUACGAUCUACGGAUGAAAGUGGGGGCUCGCAAGACCUCAUGCUCGUGGAGCGGCCGAUAUCUGAUUAGCUAGUUGGUAGGGUAAAAGCCUACCAAGGCUUCGAUCAGUAGCUGGUCUGAGAGGACGACCAGCCACACUGGGACUGAGACACGGCCCAGACUCCUACGGGAGGCAGCAGUGGGGAAUUUUGGACAAUGGGGGCAACCCUGAUCCAGCAAUGCCGCGUGAGUGAAGAAGGCCUUCGGGUUGUAAAGCUCUUUUGUCAGGGAAGAAACGGUGAAGGCUAAUACUCUUUGCUAAUGACGGUACCUGAAGAA